UGAAAACACAACACCUCUCGAGCGGUCUACAGGUGGUUCUCCCAGGUCUCCUUCAGAAGGAAGGGGGGACACCUACUUGGACUCGGGGGACUCUCCGUUGAUCGGGAAAUAACUGACUAUGUAGUUACUUCUUUAAAAAUGUUAGUGACUUAAAAAAUGUCGUUUGUCAACGAAACAUUUUUUAUGAAUAGGACAGUUAUUUCUUUCUUUUCUUUUCGACUUUACUUCUCGCCAAGAUGCUAAAUGUCCUAAAACGAAUCAAAUCGAAAGUAACUCGGGUUUCGUAAAAGGUUGGUUAAGCGAUAUCAUUUAGCGAAUCGUUGUUGUCCUUGUUCGCCUCGAGAUACCACAGGAGUCUUGCAUCGGAAUGCAAUCUUGUCUCUUCUAGCAGCCGCGGCCGCCGCCACCGCCGUUGCUGCUGCUGCUGCUGCCGCUGCUGCUGCUGCUGCUGCUGCUGCUGCUGCUGCUGGAUACGACUGGUUUUUCAGAAAGAAAAAUGAAGCGUACGACCGCUUCGGGAUAUUUUUUCCGUCCCUCGUCUUCGGAUUAGGAGACACGGGGAGAGAGAAGAGAAGAGGAGAAUGCUCGAGGGGGAAAAGGAACGAAGUUUAUUGCCAUUCCUUGUGGUGGAUCGUCGACCUUGACGACGAUUCUCAUCGGACGAAUCAGAGUCUCUUCCGCGAUAUACGGAAAUUAAGUCACGCGAUCGAUCGAUUCGUUUAUGAAAACUUUUGUGGUAUUUCAAUGGGUAUAUACAGGGUGGUCUAAAAUAGGCUUAAUUCGAAGAAAAAUAAUUCACUUAAAAAAGAGAGUAAAAUGAUAUUAUACAACUUCAACAAGACCAAAUAUAAUCUCUACCGUAUCCUCUAUAAAUAAGAACAUUUCUAAUUCGAAAUAAUAAGAAAUAUGAUUAAGUAAAAGGUUUAUGGGCAUAUCAAAAAGAUACAUUUUUAAUUCAUAUGUCUCUAACUCUUCAUUUAUCAUCAAUAGUAAGAAGAAAUUGAUCAGCUACGAUUUGGGUGACCGGUACGAAUGUGACGAAGACUAAACGAGUUAAUCGUUUUAAAAACAUGGUUUUUCGUGAAAUGUAAUUUCAAGGAGAAUCAUAAAAGUAACGAAAGGAAAAAUGGAUUUUGAACAGAGCUCGAGACAAGUUUGCUAUGCGUUAUGAUCGUUCACCCGUUAGAUAAUUUAUACAUGGUACAUGGACGAACGAUCUCUUGGAACUUAUUCAAAGUCGAUUAGAGCUCGAACGAUCAAAGUCUUGUGUUCGAGACAUCGUACUUCUUUUAUUAUAUAUAUAUAUAUAUACAUUUUCUUCUUAUUUUUAGGCUCUGAGAAGUUCUCGAAAGUAGAGAGAGAGAAAGAGGCACCUUUCACUCGGAGGUCUCGAUCGUUCUCCCUUAUCGCGUCGGUCCCUUUUCGACCUUGGUUGUUCGGCUUGUAGAGAAAGAGAGAGAGGAAGAGACAGAGAGAGAGAGAGAGAGAGAGAGAGGGAAGGAGAGAGAGAGAUUCCAGUACUUUCGUAUACGGUGUUUAACGGCCCACCAUUUAGAAACCGUUCGACGUAGUUUCCUUCCUUCUCUCUGUCCUUUUAUACGUCCUUCUGUACGUCCAUACAAACGUCCGUACGUCCUCCUGACCCGACUGAGACUUCUCUCUUUCUCUCUCCUCGUUCGGUCUUCGCUUUUCUACCAUGAUGGUUUUUAUGGGUCGAGCAUAACGGUGAGAUCGAGUCGAGUUCAUGGCACGUCUGUUCACGCUAUAUCGUUAAGUGUCAUAGGUCAUCACUGGCAUAUAUUGAAAUCGAUUACGUUCGACUUGGAUUUAGUCUUUACAGAUUCGUGGAAUCUGCACCGAUCUCUGAUUACUUUGGUUCGGAUGCUUUUGAUAGAAACGGAUCUUCUUGAAUUUUCCCCGAAUUUGGAGAAAGACGGAAACGGAAGUGGAAGAUUUCUCUUGUCUGUAAGCAGUCUUUUUUACCCGCAUAGGAUUCCAUGCGUGACCUCUUGAUACUGAUACCGGUUUCACUUGAUUAUUCAGACAACUAUUGUGCAUUCCUGAGCGAUAAUAUUUACAUACCCAUUGGAUGGAUUUUUGAUUUUUGAUCGGAUAUGUUUGAAACAGUUUUUCUUGAAACAUUUCAUAAGUAAUCUCAUCGAAGAUCGUGAAUGCUGUCAAAUAUUCUAAUUUUAAACUUGUUCGAAAUAGUUUCUGUUACAAGCAAAUCUUUUCUCUAGCUUAGAAUUUGUUUUUUGGAUACCUGGAUAGUUCAGAAUAUUGAAUAGUACGAAAUAAAAAUUGUAUGGAUCUUUCGCUGGAUGAAUCAUCGAUAAAGCAUAGUUUAUUCGAGUCAAAGAAGCUUGGUACGUUAGUCCUUUGAAAAUUUUCGAAUAAGAAGAAGACAGGAAUCGUGUUAUACCAAGCACGUUCGACGUGGUGUCAGAGCUCGAGCGGUAUUCGGCGUAGGUGUUUAAGCGUGGGCUCAUUCAUAGAUAGCUUCUCUAUUCCACUCGUAUCGUUUCUUACCAGUCGAAGGAACAAAGAACUCUGUCUCUUUCUCUCUCUCUCGACUUACGAAGCCUCUCCUUUUAUUUUUAUUUUAUUUUUGGAAGAUUUUCUUACAAGCAAGUUCGCGGACUUUCGUAAAAACGUACGAUUAUUAAAUAUUCGAAAGUUUGAAUUCCGCGAGGCCGAGUAAAGUCGAAUAUUCGUGUUGUUCCUUCCGCAAUGGCGUGACGCGUUUCAACGUAUCUCGUUAACCAAUCCGAUCGAUUUUCACCCUUGACUGACGGAGAGAAUGCUGUACUGUGAAAACUACCAAUUCCGAUGGUUAAAGCUGUACGGGAUAUUGUACGAGCGAGUGUACCAGUGUAUACAAGGUGUUUUAAAUUUAUAGGAAUUAUUUGAAAAUUUUUAGGAAAAUUGGUAUACCAAAUAUUUUCUUGUAAAAGUUAUUUGAAAUCGGAGUAAAAAUUAAUUUCUGUGGUUUUUGUCUGAUGUCAGGAGAUAUUAUAAACUCUUUAUUUUUUUUUUUUUUACAUUUGAUUUUCUUAUGUGAUUUCUAAGCUAAAGAGUUAUACAUACAUAUAACAAUCGUAAACUGGAAUUUCAAGAUGGCAUAAUUUUAACAUGUUAAAUAAAUAAUUUGGUAUAUAAAUUGUCUAAGCAGAGCUAACGUUAGGAGAAUACACGUUAAAUGAGAGAAUGUUUUUAAGGAUACGAGCUGAACGUACGUCUUCUCUCUAUCUCUUUUUCUUUUCGCAUAAUAACGAACAUAUAGAAACGAGAAGAUCUUGUAAAAAUAAAAGGAGCCAACGUGUCGUCGCCAUCAUCGUCGAACGAUCGACGUGCCAAGUCGCAAGUACACCUGUUGCUCGACAAAAAUCGUGGCACACUGACCCUAGUUGCGUUUUAGAAUAAAUUUAGUCGUGUGGCGUGUUCGCCAUUAACGGUGCCGGACCGUUCUCGCUUAUGGCAGACGCAUUUUAAUUUGCCAGACGUGAACGAAAAGGUCGAACGUGUUUCUUCCUUUACGUUCCUCCAGAGACAUUGUUUUAUUCUAAUCCUACUGUCGUGUCAACGAGAUUCUAAGAAGUACGAGCACGUACCUACGCGUCGUUAGCUCUCUUCUUCUUCUUCCUCUUCAUCUGGAUUCGAGUUAAGCGUUUCUCCCGUUGAUGCGAUCCCGUUAGAAACGCCUUUGCAAACUUGGAUCUUUUAAACUCGUUGGUGCUUUUCCGAUCGCGUUAAAUUGUGACGGAAUUCUCGUAUGAAUUUAGUUUGAAGAUCAUUAUUAAUAACAUUGGAAUUAAUCAUUAAUGUUAUGAAUAAUUUUGUUUUCGGUAUAUAUUAUAGGUACUUUGAAGAAAUGCGAAGACGAUCCUUUCGGUCGAUUCCCUUCGUUAACGAACGUAGUUGGUUGAAAAAAAGAAAAAAGAAAAGAAAAUGAACAAAAUAAUUAUAUAAAAGCAAUUGAUUUUAUUGGUCAAUGGCACGAGAAGCCCGUUUUAAAGCAAUUAAUUUAUCGAUACGAUAAAAGCGUUAAGAAACGUAUUAUUUAUUUAAACAACAUUAAUGUAGAAAAUACUCGAUCGGUCCGUAUUAAAAUUAAUAUUAUAGAUACUAAUGCGACAUGUAAUCAACGAUUAGUUAUUCGCGAAUAAGACAGGUUUCGAACAAGUUCGUUAUUAUUAAUUACCAAUGAGAAACGCACAAAGUAAUAAGAGUACAUUAUCUUUUGCUGUUUUUUUUUUCAAGCAACAGAUAACUACCGUUAUUCGAAAGUAACGAUUCUGCAAUAUCGCUACAGGACAGCGUCCAAAGUGAGAGCAGGUGUGUACAUAUGUACGUACAUACACGCGCAUAAACCGCGUUCCUGCAUGAAACAGUCUCGACAAGAGUUUUCUAUUAUCCCUCAACCAAAUUCUUUUAAGCGACACUUUCCUUUCAAAUUAUUUCUUGGCUUCUCCUUAUUUUUUCGAAAUUUCUCACCUAAUCAUCUUGUUUUUCUUAUCGUAUAACUUUCACUACAAAACUUUACAUAUCGAGAUUACGACGACCUGACAGAAUGUACAUAUAAGAAAAAAUCAAUGUAGAAGACGUUGACUUUAAAGAAGGUCACAGCUUUAUGUAUAAUGUUUGUAUAUACGAGGGCGAACAAGAGAAAGAGAGAGAGAGAGAGAGAGAGAGAGCAAGAUCAUGCCUCGUUUUGUUAUUGUUUUUAAGAUCGUCGUUUCGAGGGACUUCUUAAGAGAUAUGAGUCAUAUGACUCAGUUCAAGUUUAGACGCUGUACGGUUUAGUUCUCUCCUUUGUUACCUCGCAUUUAUAUACGCAUUUCACACGGAAUGACAAAUUUUUUCUAAUUUUCUCAUCGUCUACGAAUCACGAAGGAAGAUAAAGCGAACUACCUGCAUGAAUACGAGUAUCACCAAGCUACAAAAAUCUUGGCACACUGACCUACUAAUAGCCGAUAAGAAGAAGGAGGAGAAGAAGAAGAAGAAGAAGAAGAAGAAGAAGAAGAAGAAGAAGGAAAUAGCACUCAAAAGUAACGUUCUUGAUUAGGAAUGUUUCUAACUCGGGCGAUUACUACUAUAUUAAUCCGUAGAUGCAUGCUUUUCGAUAAAUCGAUAUGUGCACCGCUCCAAUUCUCUCAACUACUUUCUUUUUCUGCGAUCGUCCGUGAUAUUUCGACUGUGAACGUCAUAAGUAGCUUGCUAUGGAAAUACGUUUUAGUAUGAUCGAUGAGUUGCGAUGAACCAAUCUCGUUCGAUCGAAUAUUUUGCUUACCGUUAUUUCGUAUUUUUACGCGUCCGAUUUUUAUUAGUUACUAAGCUAUACAUAUUAUUUUCUAAUAUCUAUUUAGCGAUGAUUUAAUAUUGAAUUAGAUAUAUAUAUAUGUGUAUGUAUAUAUAUAAAAGAAAAGAUAAAUAUAAUAUCAAAAAGAGUUCGAUAUGAGACACACAAUGAUACUUAAUGUUUAUAUUUAUCUGUCUAAUGGUCAAUAGUCGGACAAAGAAAGUCGCACAUGCAUAUACGUAAGCAGUCUUAGACGAGCUCUUCUCCUUUUCACAAUCGACAUGCGUUUAUCGUCGUUGGAAAGCGACAGGAAGUUGGAAGAAGAGCCGACUCGUAAUAACGUUAGAUCUCUUUCGUAACGAUGUUUACUGCAAUGGCUUGUGUAAAUUGAACGGGUUUUUAGAGUUUUCCGUUAAAAGUAAUACCUAAUUUAUUCGUUAGUAGAUCUAAUUGAAAGAUUUCGUCCACGUUUAAGGUACCAUUAUUCUUAAAUAAACUACAUUUUUGUUUAAACAAAGCGAACAAAACUUUUCGAUAAAUGUAAUAUUUUUAAAUUCUAAUUAUUAUUAGAAUUCAUAUAAUUAUCGUUAUAUGGAAUAGUUUUUAUAUUAAUAUAAUCAACACCGACGAUUGAGAAUUAUCUACAACUCUCGGGAAAGUUUAGAUCAAAUUUUGUUGUUAUUACUAGAAAAUUAGAAAUAAGCUAUCCGUUACAAUUAGAAGUACUCUAAGAAAGCCAAAGUAUCUUUUCUAAAGAGGAUCGAUUCUCCUCCUUUAAGGUCUACCCUGCAAGUUCCUCGUUCUAUCUCUUUGUCUCUCUCGUUCAUCGAUUCUGGUGGCCCUACCUGCUACUCGAGACUCACCAAGCGAUGAUUUAAUUAAUAGGGAACCCUUCGAGUAUCGAAGCAUCGAGGGCUGAUAUCCGGUAUAAGAUUACCUCUACUCGUCCAUUAUUGGAUUCUUGGUAAUAUAUGUAUGUAGAGUGAAAGUGUGCAAUAGACUUUGUCUUCUUUCAAAUACGAAACUCUUGCGAAUUUAAGAUCUUUAAUGAUAUUUGAGAUGGUAUUUUUAUCGUAAUUUUCCACAUUUUUCUCUUUUAUUAUCAGCAGAAAAUGAUAACGAUCUUUAAUGUAAUUAAUUUAGUUUCAUGUUACGUAUAAUUUAUUUCAUUCGUCAUUAUUUAUUCGUUAUUCGGCAAUUCAACGCUACAACUAUUGACUUUGUAUAUAUUUAAAGGUGACAUUGUAUAUUAUCGAUUAGAUUUAGAACGUGAAAUGAAUUGUUUAUUCACGCGUUCCGUUCCAGAACACGUAUUCACGAAUCAUCCUGUAUUUUUCCGUGCGAUCUCUCGCGUCCCAAAAUUCCAAAUAAAAGUCAGAACGUGCGAGGAAUGUAAGAUACGUGCAUGAAAAAUUUGGAAUAAAGAGACAUCACGAAAGAGGACGUCGAAAGAGGCGUGGUGUUUAACGAACGAACGAACCAACUGCACAAAAUCAUUUUUAUCAACUUUAUCUCUCUACAAACUUUCUUCAAGGUUCAUUAUUCCUAACGCGAACUCUCCUCGGCUCUUUCUCUUUUGCAAUUUUUUCUUCUCCUAUUUCUUUUUUCCUUCUUUUCUUCUUUUUUUUUUUCUUUGACUCACUGAUCGACACCGAUAACGCGUUACGUCUCGUUGAGAUUUUCGAAGAUCCAGGCCGAUGCAGUUUGUAAGAGAAAGAAAGAGAUAGAUGGAUAGAUAGAGAGAAAAGAGAUGGGAGGUGUAACCCGGUUACAUCGUAAUCUUAAACACCGAUUUGCCUUUCGAGAGAGGACAUUGCAUUUACUCGGAGACCUUUAUCGACACUUCCGAAAACGGUCGUGUUCUGAUUUUCCUUAUUUCAAAAUUUAUUUAUCGAGUUGAUAUCCUUUUUUAGAGACGAAUACCUGAUGGUAUUUUUAUGAGAGUUUUUAAUAAUUACGUUCUCAAAUGGAGAGUGCGCCACAGUGAGUGUACGAAAGAAAAGAAAAUUACAUCUAUCUACGUAAGCAGAUCUUUUUAACGACAGUAAAUGUAUAGAAAUAUUUGUUAUAUUUAAUUAAAGUAUAUACCUGUUCUACAAUAUUAACUACGAAAUAUCAUACUUUGUGUAUUUCAAAGAAGGAUAUAAAUUAGUUGGGAGAAAAUAUUACAGUAACUUUCAUCGUGAAAUUUGAGUAAAAUCGGAUCACGCUGACCAUUUUCGGAAUAACAGGCUAUUUAUUUCGAACAGAGAUCUUUAGCACUUUCAUCUUAUCUCCGUUUAAUAGUCUUUUUUAUGUUUUCGCUAUACGGUAGCUAUGCUUUUGCGCGUAUAUACUUCGGAGUCGUAAAAAAAAAAAAAAGAAAAGAAAAAAAGAUGAGAAAAAAAGAGAAAAAAGGAAAA